GGUUAGAACCUGGAGUCGAGAAAAGUCUUGUUCGCCGCUGUCUUGUAAUUGGCAAAGUUUUGAUUAUACAAAUGAAUAAUUGUGUCAACUCACCUGUUGUGAUCCACACUGAAGAAAUGGGUUCGUCUCGACUGAGAAUAGCUGGCAACAAUAACUCACUUUGUUUGCGAUUCCCUGAAACUUUUGCCGCACAAAUGUGAACUCCAAUGGAAAGACCUUGGAUUUUACCUGACACAUGUGUUUCUGAUAAGUCUCCCUAUGCAACUUACGGAAACGAGUAUCUGAUGGCGGAAGUUGAGUGUUGUCACCGUUCCAUGUGGACAGACUGGAUACUGGAUCAAUUUUACAUAUUACUGGUGUUGCAGUCACGGGAAUACAUACGCUGGACUGCUGGACUGUUUUGUCUUCUUCACGGGUUAAUACAUUGUGUAAUUCCAAUCCUUCUAGCUGGAAUAGCAGUGAUUGGAAAUUUCCUUCAAAAACUUGGUGGAAAUAACUAGCAAGCAUUUACUUCAAGAAUUGUCCAUGCAUUUCCUUACAAAAACUGAACUAUUUGACUACUGGCCAAUCCAACAACAUCGAUUCCAACCGCCUCAAGGAGACUGUCAAGAUAUAGAGGAUAUGUGGAGCUACAGGCUGCUCUUUUUUUUUAGCAAUUUGCUGUCAGCUGUCAAAAUUAUCGUAGACUCUUGUACUGAGUUAACUCAGUCGUACUCUGGUCGUACUUGUGCCGUCAACUGGACCAAAACGAAAAAAAAUUAAAGUUCGUAUCAUCACCUGUCUACACAAAUUUCCUGGAGGGAUGGAUUCCAGAAUAUUCCAUUGACACAUCAUGAAAAAAACAACUUGUGGAAUCCGUGGGAUCACUCUCAAAAUCAGGGCAUCAAUGAUCAAUCUUCCCAAUGGAAUCAGGCCUGGUGUUUUAAUCGUAAACUUCUACCUGGCGUUUGAUGCGGGCAUUUGCAUCUGCAUUCACCAUAUUACGGUUUUGACUUCUUUGUGCUGGACUACUCUGCACUGUGCAGUUAUCUAGUUGUCUAUCUAAACGGCCAAUACCGGUAUCUCAAAAGUUGACGCAACAAGUGACCGAUAUUCAGAUUUAUCGAACAAAGAAAGAUUGAUGAAUCAUUUAUUAUUAUUAUUAUUAUUUUUUUUAUUUGUAGUGGUAAUUAUCGAUUCAGGAAGUUGACGAUGCGAUGUAGCCCUAAAUCCUUUUCAUGCUUUUUUUCUUCCGCAUUUGAACACAAAGACUCGAGCAAAGAUGGAAAGAAACUCGAUUAGAAAUAGUAAAACUUUGGGUUAGUUAUCCUUAAUACAGACUGGUCCACUGCCGAGUUUCUUUCAAUCCCAAUCCAAACGAAUGUCGUGUCGUUGGCAUGCGUAACCU